UACAGAGGUCUCAAGCGUUGUUCGGAUUCAUUGGGCGUAAAGGGUGCGUAGGUGGCGCGCUAAGUCAGGUGUGAAAUUUCGGAGCUUAACUCCGAGACUGCAUUUGAUACUGGCGUGCUUGAGGACUGGAGAGGAGACUGGAAUUCAUGGUGUAGCAGUGAAAUGCGUAGAGAUCAUGAGGAAGACCAGUGGCGAAGGCGGGUCUCUGGACAGUUCCUGACACUGAGGCACGAAGGCCAGGGGAGCAAACGGG
rnacentral:rRNA from 1 species